rnacentral:lncRNA from 1 species
CAUGAAUCCAGAUAAUAAAAGGGUCUUCCUUUCUUUGAGGGCUUCCUUCAAAAACCUUGGCCUGCGAUGGCCUGGAUUGCAGGAGUCCUAUGAUGUUGGCUAGUCGGUGUAAUUGUCGGGCUUUUCCCUUAAUCCAUUUAUGCCUGAGGUUGCAAUUUUUUGAAUUUUUGCAAUUAGACCUUGGCGAUGACCUUGAGCAGUAGGAUAUAAAUAACUCCCUUGUGUUUAGCAUUCCAGUAAUGGAACACUAGCCAUAAUAAACCGUUCCAAAAAUGCGUUCUAAUGGCUCUCAAGCAAGGUCCACUUGCAGUGAAAUAAACCAGAGGUUUGAAUCAUGGCUUGAUACGAAAUUAUUGGAAAGAAUAUGGCGAUGACAUCCACAAUGCCGGAUAAAGAAAAUAUUUAGAAGAUGAGAUUCCUGUGUUUCUGGCUUUCAUAACUUUUUAGAUUUCCUUUCUACUGGAAAACUUUUAACUUUGAAAACCGCAAGUAAUAUUUUUCUUCCUGAAACCUCUGCAGUGGUAGCAAUGCACUGAAGUUUGAUUAAAAGUUUACUGGUCAUUCCUGCCAUGAGAAGAUGAUAGAGAAUAUCACCACAGUGUGACUUGCUUCCAAGGCAGCAUGGUUUCAUGCAGAGGAUCUAAACUGGGGACCAUGUGCUGGGCUGCAAAAGGGCUGUGCAGUGCCUAAAAUGUUAUGCAAAAUUUUAUAAAGAGUGCACACCUUCUACUUAUUAAAAAAAAAAACAAACUGUAAAACAGCAUCAUGCAGGUUCUUCAGGAGAGAUUCCAGAGGAAGGCAUUGUUGUGGUAGAAGAUGACAGUUCCACAGGUGUUACUAGCCAUGAAGAUCUUCCAGUGAGACAAGAUGUGGAGGUGGAAGACAGUGAUAUUGAUGAUUCUGAUCCUGUUGUUAUAAAUAAAGUUUCGGUUCCACAAAAG